AGGGAAUCUUCCGCAAUGGACGAAAGUCUGACGGAGCAACGCCGCGUGAGUGAUGAAGGUUUUCGGAUCGUAAAACUCUGUUGUUAGGGAAGAACAAGUAUCGUUCGAAUAGGGCGGUACCUUGACGGUACCUAACCAGAAAGCCACGGCUAACUACGUGCCAGCAGCCGCGGUAAUACGUAGGUGGCAAGCGUUGUCCGGAAUUAUUGGGCGUAAAGCGCGCGCAGGCGGUUUCUUAAGUCUGAUGUGAAAGCCCACGGCUCAACCGUGGAGGGUCAUUGGAAACUGGGAGACUUGAGUGCAGAAGAGGAGAGUGGAAUUCCACGUGUAGCGGUGAAAUGCGUAGAGAUGUGGAGGAACACCAGUGGCGAAGGCGACUCUCUGGUCUGUAACUGACGCUGAGGCGCGAAAGCGUGGGGAGCGAAC
rnacentral:rRNA from 1 species